GAAUUCAGCCUUGGCUGAGAAACCAAACAAGUAUCUGGAAGCAAACGGGCAUGACGAUGCGUGAGCUCAGCUGCUUGAUUCUCCUGCUUGGCUCCGUUUUAGCUGAGCCACCAGGCAAAGCACUUCGAGGUUGAGUCAUGCAGCUUCCAACCCAACUGCAAGGAGUUGUGAAAUGAAGAGGACCCACCAAUAUUUGAGGCAUGCAUGCAUCUCCUAAACGCUGAAGGACCCCACAAGGCUUGCAACCAGAGCAGCAAUGGGAAGUGGCAAUUCAUCCAGGGCAACCCCCCUGAGCCUGUCCCCAUGGCCUCCUGUUCUCUGACUUCUUAGUGAGCUGAAGCAGACUAGCCUGGGCUCAUUUUCCCAGCCCUUCCUUGUUUCACUGUCCCCAGCUUUAAUAAACAUCCUC